rnacentral:rRNA from 1 species
GGAAUAUUGGUCAAUGGGCGCAAGCCUGAACCAGCCAUGUCGCGUGCAGGAUGACGGCCCUAUGGGUUGUAAACUGCUUUUUUACAGGAAUAAUUGCAGAUACGUGUAUUUGUUUGAAGGUACUGUAAGAAUAAGGAUCGGCUAACUCCGUGCCAGCAGCCGCGGUAAUACGGAGGAUCCGAGCGUUAUCCGGAUUUAUUGGGUUUAAAGGGUCCGUAGGCGGGCUAAUAAGUCAGUGGUGAAAUCCCAGAGCUCAACUCUGGAACUGCCAUUGAUACUGUUAGUCUUGAAUUUAGUUGAGGUAGGCGGAAUACGUUAUGUAGCGGUGAAAUGCAUAGAUAUAACGUAGAACACCGAUUGCGAAGGCAGCUUACUAAGCUAACAUUGACGCUGAUGGACGAAAGCGUGGGGAGCGAACAGGAUUAGAUACCCUGGUAGUCCACGCCGUAAACGAUGAUUACUCGUUG